GAUGGACGCUGGCGGCGCGCCUAACACAUGCAAGUCGAACGGCACCCCUCCUCGGAGGGAAGCGAGUGGCGAACGGCUGAGUAACACGUGGAGAACCUGCCCCCUCCCCCGGGAUAGCCGCCCGAAAGGACGGGUAAUACCGGAUACCCCGUGGUGCCGCAUGGCACCCCGGCUAAAGCCCCGACGGGAGGGGAUGGCUCCGCGGCCCAUCAGGUAGACGGCGGGGUGACGGCCCACCGUGCCGACAACGGGUAGCCGGGUUGAGAGACCGACCGGCCAGAUUGGGACUGAGACACGGCCCAGACUCCUACGGGAGGCAGCAGUGGGGAAUCUUGCGCAAUGGGGGGAACCCUGACGCAGCGACGCCGCGUGCGGGACGGAGGCCUUCGGGUCGUAAACCGCUUUCAGCAGGGAAGAGUCAAGACUGUACCUGCAGAAGAAGCCCCGGCUAACUACGUG
rnacentral:rRNA from 1 species